rnacentral:other from 1 species
UUUGCCCUGCGGUGUGCGUGAUGUUGAAUAGCAUUUUGACCCAGUAUUUUUUGAUCCGGGAGCCCGUUUCCUCAGUGGUGAGCUACUCGAUGUUUGAGUCAGCCUAAAGCCGUGGAUUGGGUGCCCACCUAGCCUAUGCUGGGGAUCGAACGCUUCCAGCACACGGCAUUUUAGCGGGGCAUUU